AGAUUAAGCCAUGCAUGUCUAAGUACAAGCCUCAUUAAGGUGAAACCGCGAAUGGCUCAUUAAAUCACACCUAAUCUACUGGAUAGUCAACUUACUUGGAUAACUGAGGUAAUUCUUGAGCUAAUACAUGCACAAAGCCCCAAACGUAAGUGAGGGGCGCUUUUAUUAGAUCAAAACCAAACGGCUUCGGCUGUUCACUUGGUGACUCUGAAUAACUUUCGGCAGAUCGCAUAGCCUAGAGCUGGCGACAUAUCCUUCGAAGGUGUGCCCUAUCAACUGUCGACUGUGGCAUAGACGCCCACAGUGGUUUUGACGGGUAACGGGGAAUCAGGGUUCGAUUCCGGAGAGGGAGCCUUAAAAACGGCUACCACAUCUAAGGAAGGCAGCAGGCACGCAAAUUACCCAAUGACCGAAGGUCGAGGUAGUGACGAAAAAUAACGAUACCGGACUCAUCUGAGGCCCGGUAAUCGGAAUGAGUACACUUUAAAACCGUCCCCGAGGAUCUAUUGGAGGGCAAGUCUGGUGCCAGCAGCCGCGGUAAUUCCAGCUCCAAUAGCGUAUAUUAAAGUUGUUGUGGUUAAAAAGCUCGUAGUUGGAUCUCGGCGGUCUGAGGCCGGUUCACUUGCUAGUGCUACUGGCCUAUAGACCGUAGUUUUGCCAGGG
rnacentral:rRNA from 1 species